rnacentral:rRNA from 1 species
GGCAUUGGCUUGAUGCCAAUGCAGUGCCGCAGGGAAGCCGUUAAGUUUGCCGCCUGGGAAGUACGUAGGCAGUUAUGAACUUAAAGGAAUUGGCGGGGGUGCACACCAAGGGGUGAAGCCUGCGGUUCAAUUGGAGUCAACGCCAGAAAUCUUACCCGGAGAGACAGCAGAAUGAAGGUCAAGCUGAAGACUUUACCAGACAAGCUGAGAGGUGGUGCAUGGCCGUCGCCAGCUCGUGCCGUGAGAUGUCCUGUUAAGUCAGGUAACGAGCGAGAUCCCUGCCUCUAGUUGCCACCAUUACUCCCAGGAGUAGUGGGGCGAAUUAGCGGGACCGCCGUAGUUAAUACGGAGGAAGGAAGGGGCCACGGCAGGUCAGUAUGCCCCGAAACUCUGCGGCCACACGCGGGCUGCAAUGGUAACGACAAUGUGUUCCGAAUCCGAAAGGAGGAGGUAAUCCAGAAACGUUACCACAGUUAUGACUGAGGGCUGCAACUCGCCCUCACGAAUAUGGAAUCCCUAGUAACUGCGUGUCAUUAUCGCGCGGUGAAUACGUCCCUGCUCCUUGCACACACCGCCCGUCGUUUCAUUGAAGUUUGCCUUUAGCGAGGUGACGUCUCAUUGGCGUUAUCGAACUUG